rnacentral:rRNA from 1 species
UAGGGAAUCUUCGGCAAUGGACGAAAGUCUGACCGAGCAACGCCGCGUGAGUGAAGAAAGUUUUCGGAUCGUAAAACUCUGUUGGUAGAGAAGAACGUUGGUGAGAGUGGAAAGCUCAUCAAGUGACGGUAACUACCCAGAAAGGGACGGCUAACUACGUGCCGG